CUAAUACAAUAAUCGUAUAAAUUAUUUAAAUAAACUUAUAUACUUAGAUAAUAUACUUUAAUAUACUUUAUGAUAAACAUUAACCAGUAGCCACACAAAAUGCACCGACCUCGUGACCAUGUUAUGAAGACGACAAUGACGAAGAUGAUCAGAUUUCGCUGUCCGUCGUCCUGGGUGGUUACGGGAAAUGCAGAAGAGUUUGAUAAAGCGGCACAGUCUCACAAAAUUAACAGAUUUGUCGAUUCUGGAGGAAACUCAGGAAAACCUUUAGUAUAAAAUAGACGGGAAUUGCUGUGUAUCCUCGAUCAAUAAGUUACUGUGCGCUCUACGAUUUAACGCAACUAGGUGCUACCAAACAACUGCUGGAGAUCUGUGUAGCUUCAGUUCCUCUACAAUGAAUAGGAUUAUGCACAAAGUGGAGAUACCUAUGAGCGUUUUUGGAAUAGGAAAGUUUAUUAUUUUUUGAAUACCUAUUCAGGCAACAUGCAACUCAAAUCUGGAGAUCAUUGAUAUUGUAGUGAGAUAUGAUGGAAGUACUCAUGAUUCUAGAAAUAGUCAGUCUAACAGCGGUUCUCAAACUUUGUUUUGCGCGUACUACUUAAGUAUAUUAUCAAUUAGUCAAGUACCACUAAUGAUUAAAAAUAGAACGAUACAAACUCUACAUAGUUAAAUGCUUUUAUUUUAAAUAAAAAGGCAGUA